rnacentral:rRNA from 1 species
CAAUAGCGUAUAUUAAAGUUGUUGCAGUUAAAAAGCUCGUAGUUGAAUUUCUGGCGGGCGCGCCGGUCUUCCAAGUGUUGUACUGGGCGCAGUCCGCCAUCCUUGUGGAGAGGGCUCGCAUUGAGUUGUGUGUCGGAUCUGCAUCAUUUACUGUGAAAAAAUUAGAGUGUUUAAAGCAGGCUGUCGCUUGAAUACAUUAGCAUGGAAUAAUAAGAUAGGACUUCGGUCUAUUUUGUUGGUUGCGAACCGAGGUAAUGAUUAAUAGGGAUAGUUGGGGGUAUUCAUAUUUAAUUGUCAGAGGUGAGAUUCUUGGAUUUAUGAAAGAUGAACAACUGCGAAAGCAUUUACCAAGGAUGUUUUCAUUAA